rfam:Schistosoma mattheei strain Denwood, Zambia genome assembly, scaffold: SMTD_scaffold0012867
CCACAGAGAAGAUCAGCAUGGCCCCUGCGCAAGGAUGACACGCAAAAUCGUGAAGCGUUCCAUAAUUUU